AGCAGUUGGUAGUUUCCAGCCACAGAUUCGAAUUGGCCAGGGUCAAAAUCUGUCAUUAGAGAUAAAACCUUGAAGUGAAGGCAGUUUUGAUGUUUGAAAUAUUUGUUGAUGUGAGUUUGUGAUUAACAAGUUUAAGAAUGGUAUGUUGCAGAAAUUCUGGCAGAUGCGAAUGUAAGCUUGAUGGCAUCAUUUUCAUAUAACUGCUUGAAAUGCAUAUAUGCCACUAUCAGCAUUGAGCGUCUCGUGAACUGUCAAAUGUCUUAUAGGCCUCACACAGUUGAAAAUAGUGAAAAAAGUAAUCGGUUGACAGGUAUUUUUGUCCAGCUCUGCAAGUAAUACUUGAAACUGAGUACAGAAUGCAAGUGGCCAUUUGUCUCUAUCCAUUCCCCUAACAUUUUAAGGCCAGUUGGAGAUAUGGCUAAUUUGGGCUGAAAUGUCAUGUAUUUUCGCGGGCUGAAAUUAUCUUUCAGGUGGCUUGUGGAUUUAAAAAUCUAUGCUUUGUAUGAAGUUUACUAUGUAUUUUAUUUCUUCUUCAAGUAAGAUGUAAACCGGUAUCUUUUUAUUUUCAGGUCUGCAUCUCGUAAGAUAUCGGAAGCCGUGUGACUUGGCCACAUCGCUCGGAAGUCUGAAGUACUAGAAAAAACCGCCAUCUGCUACCUUAAGACAUUUGUCAAUUUUUGUCUGCAUCUCGUAAGAUAUCGGAAGCCGUCUGACUUGGCCACAUCGCUCGGAAGUCUGAAGUACUAGAAAAAACCGCCAUCUGCUACCAU